GACGAACGCUGGCGGCGUGCUUAACACAUGCAAGUCGAGCGGUAAGGCCCUUUCGGGGGUACACGAGCGGCGAACGGGUGAGUAACACGUGGGUGACCUGCCCUCAGCUCUGGGAUAAGCCUGGGAAACCGGGUCUAAUACUGGAUAUGACUCCAUGACGCAUGUUGUGGGGUGGAAAGCCUUGUGCGGCUGAGGAUGGGCCCGCGGCCUAUCAGCUUGUUGGUGGGGUGAGGCCUACCAAGGCGACGACGGGUAGCCGGCCUGAGAGGGCGACCGGCCACACUGGGACUGAGACACGGCCCAGACUCCUACGGGAGGCAGCAGUGGGGGAUCUUGCGCAAUGGGCGAAAGCCUGACGCAGCGACGCCGCGUGAGGGAUGACGGCCU
rnacentral:rRNA from 1 species